rnacentral:rRNA from 1 species
GGGUUGUGAGGUUAAGCGACUAAGCGUACACGGUGGAUGCCCUGGCAGUCAGAGGCGAUGAAGGACGUGCUAAUCUGCGAUAAGCGUCGGUGAGGUGAUAUGAACCGUUAUAACCGGCGAUUUCCGAAUGGGGAAACCCAGUGUGUUUCGACACACUAUCAUUAACUGAAUCCAUAGGUUAAUGAGGCGAACCGGGGGAACUGAAACAUCUAAGUACCCCGAGGAAAAGAAAUCAACCGAGAUUCCCCCAGUAGCGGCGAGCGAACGGGGAGGAGCCCAGAGCCUGAAUCAGUGUGUGUGUUAGUGGAAGCGUCUGGAAAGGCGCGCGAUACAGGGUGACAGCCCCGUACACAAAAAUGCACAUACUGUGAGCUCGAUGAGUAGGGCGGGACACGUGGUAUCCUGUCUGAAUAUGGGGGGACCAUCCUCCAAGGCUAAAUACUCCUGACUGACCGAUAGUGAACCAGUACCGUGAGGGAAAGGCGAAAAGAACCCCGGCGAGGGGAGUGAAAAAGAACCUGAAACCGUGUACG